UCGUUAAAUUUCGUUAAAUUUCACAAAUUUUGAUAAAUUUUCAAUAAAUUAAACAACCAAUAGGCUCUUUUAAGCUAUUACAUUUAAUUUUUCUAUUCCCUGACACGUCUUCACGAUGUACACGAACGAUAUUUCCACAUGGAUCAUAGCGAAAUCUAAUAAAACUGUGUCGGCGUCCAAGCACAAAGACUAUUUCAAAUACGAUCUCUCAUCAUCGAAUUAAAAAUAAAAAUCAGUUACCGAAAUAGCUAAAUCGAAGCAUCAUACUGCCGCGUCAGAACAAAAUGGUUGUUUAAAAUAUUUUAAUUUAAUUUAAAAAUUUACAUUCAACCAAAAUAAUAAAAAGUAAAUCGUCUCGUCCAUUCCAGUAAUUUAUAUGAAAGAUUUUAUGAUUUCAAUAAAAUAAAAAAUAUUUUUCCUAAAUAAAAUAAAUUUUUGUAAACACAAGCAGGGUCUGUAAUUUUUAAAGGAAGAAAAAAUGAAAAGAAAAUUUAAAAAAAAAUGAAAUAAAGAAAAACCAUUUGCAAUAAUUGUCGUUUUGUAACAGUAGGAUUGCCGUGUAGCAGAAUUAAUUUCUCCGCCAUUUUCUCUGAAGUUUACUUUUAUUUUCACGAAGAGUUACUUCUAUCAGUGUUCACAGUAUUUUCCUAUUUGAUCUGGGCAACUUUUUACUCAAGUUUUAUAUCACAAACACAUCCAGUGUAUCACAAAAAAUUUUAAUGGUUCAGAGAUCCCGGAAAACAAUGUUUGAGACUAUGGCUUGAAAAUCGGGAACUUUGGACCCAUUUGGUGCAAUGUAUCGCACCACUCGAAAAUUUUCAGUUUUUGAUUGUUCGCCACCUGAAGUUGUUCCGGACGAUAGUCUGAACAAUAGUUUUUGAGGGUCAUGGGUCACUAGAAUGUUUUAUUGACCCAGGAAAUCGACCACUCAUAAUGUGUACAUCAUUUAGCGUAAAACGGUAAAUUACGAGCAGACCCUAUUGUUGUCACGAGCCUCUGUAUUGUCUCUCUAUCUCUCUCUCUCUCUCUCUCUAUCUCUAUCUCUCUUUCAAACAAUGACAUCACUAAGACCUCUCUUUCACUGCUUGUAAGUAGAGGUGAACUCGUAACUGAACUUCUUAGCAAUAUCGGCCGAAAAGGGACUUUCAAAGUCACAAAAUUAUACAGGACCCAUGCUUGAUGUUCGACUGCCAAUACGAGCCACAGCCAAGCGCUAAUUCAGAAAAGACACUAUGCAGAUUUUAUAAGUUCAUUUUGAUGAUUAUACAAGACGGAUUUGUUUGACUAUGACUUAAGCUAUGGUAGAUUGAGCUUAAGCGAAUAGUUUUCACAGUGAGAUAUCAGAUGCACUCAGAAACAGCUGUUAUCGACAGUAGCUAAUAACACAAGCGAUGACCUCCGGGAAAUGUGCUCUUAUACAGCAAAAUGUUUGUUAAAACGAAUGAAGUAAAAGACUGUAAUCAAAGAUCAUUCGAUAUCGCUUCGAAUAAAUGAACCAACAGAUUUAACUGUAUCGCAAUUAGCGUUGCUGUUUCUCGAUGGUUAGCCGUUUGAACUCUUUGCCUAGUAUAUUGAUGGUCAAUGUAAUAAUUUCAAUUACCUCAUAAGUUGGCCUACAGUACAACCACUAACAUUUUCUUUAAAUCCAAAUUAAAAUUCUCUUUCCACUUGUAUCGCUACCACAGCUAUACACAGAUUUACUAUAAUUUAAAAACUUUGUAAGUGACUGAAUGACUGAAUAAUAAUUUAAUCAAUCGUAGAAUUAGAAUUUGUAUAAGCAAAAGGCAACUUACUAUUUACAACAAAAAAUAAAAAAAAUUGACAAAGAACAAAAAGAACUAUACGAAGAAAUAAUUGAAUAAGAAAACAAAAAGCUUUUACCAAUCCGUAAUUGUAAGAUACUUCGCUCCUCUCAAGAGAGAGCCUAGAACUAUCUAUACCACAUAUUAUAUGGAACAUUUGUAUUGAGUGACCCUAACCCUGUUGAGACCAACUCUAAUCGAAAAGUCAUUUGUAAAUGAUUCAUUGUUUAGCAGUGUGAAGAAAUAAAUGUAAAUAUAAAAUU